GCGUUCAUGGUGUAACGGUAGCACAUUCGACCCUCAUUCGAGAGGUCCCGAGUUCGAAUCCCGGCCAGGGUA
rnacentral:tRNA from 1 species